rnacentral:lncRNA from 1 species
GCAAGUUCCGCCUCCCGGGUUCACGCCUUUCUCCUACCUCAGCCUCCCUAGUAGCUGGGACUACAGGUGCCUGCCACCACACCUGGGUAAUUUUUUGUAUUUUUAGUAGAGACUGGGUUUCACCGUGUUAGCCAGGAUGGUCUUGAUUUCCUGACCUCAUGAUCGGCUGCCCGCCUCGGCCUCCCAAAGUGCUGGAAUGGUUUUAUCACUGCAGUCAAACAAGUACUAUGUUUCACAGAACAAUUUAGAGGACAUCACAGUUACCAAAGCAUCAAGACAGACACAAGCAUCACUGUGAAGCUAAGUUUACAGGUGUCUAAAUCAGAAGGAGCCAUACCUGAAGAACUAUAUUCAGAUCUGAUGUAGACCAUGAUAUGCAGGUUCACUGAGACUUUUGUCAUAACUGGACAUGACUUCAGGGAAUUCUGAGAUGGAGCCGAGCACAUUCAGCUGUUGGAGAUUCAUGAGUUGUUGUGGUUAGAGAUUGGAUUUGAUAGCAUGGUUUUAAAUCAGUUUCAGUUUUCCCCACCUUCUAUAUCCACACUUGCAUUGUGUCUUUGAAUCUCUUCCCAUCAAAAAAUGUAACCUAUAAUGUAAAUCUGAGAGGGCCAGUUGAUUGCAACAGAAGUGAUGAUACUCCCAUAAGCUUGUGAGAACAAAGUCCUCAGACAAAGUGUCAGAGCUGCUAUUAGGAAAGAAACCAUCAGCACAUACUAAAAAGGCUAGUAAGGAAAGGUAAGUGCAGGGUAUUGAAAGUAGCUGCAAUAUUUUCAAUAUAUUAUACUUCAUCUUUGGUUGACCUUUUUUUUUUUAAUCGGGACAUUCUUAAGUCAAUUUUCAGACUAAUUUCCUCAUUUCAUAAAACAUAUUUAAACAUUGAACUCAAAUGCAAGAAAUUGUCUUAAUUCUAUUGACAUGUUGAUUGCUCUAAGUUGUGACAUACAGUCUUCAAAACUCUGCUUGUCACUGUCACUCUUUUUUUCAAUAUUAUGGCAUAAUAUGUCUGCUUGUACCUUCUUUAAGACCAACACAUUGCUGAAAUAUUCAUUGUGAUAAUCAAUCUUCAACAGAUUCCCAGAUGUUUCUAGCAUAUGCAAUAUUAAAAAAGAGAUGCUAGCCAUGAAAAGAUACAAAUUAAAUUAUUUUUGUAAUAUCACCUAAUAAAACUCUUUUCUAACAACUGGUUUUAAUUUAGGAAACUCACUCCUUGCAUAAUCUCUGAAGUUAAAUUCCAGAGCAAAGAAAUUUAGAGAAGUAGGCAAAGGCAAUGUAAUCUUUCUAUUAAUAUGUUCAGCUAAAGUCACUGACUGUGUAAGAGAUGAACAAAAAUCAUUUUCUCCUAAAAGAGCUAAUUUUCCUUGUGUAAAUUUGUU